rnacentral:rRNA from 1 species
UCCUACGGGAGGCAGCAGUAGGGAAUCUUCCGCAAUGGACGCAAGUCUGACGGAGCAACGCCGCGUGAGUGAUGAAGGUUUUCGGAUCGUAAAGCUCUGUUGCCAGGGAAGAACGCCUUGGAGAGUAACUGCUCCGGGGGUGACGGUACCUGAGAAGAAAGCCCCGGCUAACUACGUGCCAGCAGCCGCGGUAAUACGUAGGGGGCAAGCGUUGUCCGGAAUUAUUGGGCGUAAAGCGCGCGCAGGCGGUCCGUUAAGUCUGGUGUUUAAGCCCGGGGCUCAACCCCGGUUCGCACCGGAAACUGGCGGACUUGAGUGCAGGAGAGGAAAGCGGAAUUCCACGUGUAGCGGUGAAAUGCGUAGAGAUGUGGAGGAACACCAGUGGCGAAGGCGGCUUUCUGGACUGUAACUGACGCUGAGGCGCGAAAGCGUGGGGAGCAAACAGGAUUAGAUACCCUGGUAGUCCACGCCGUAAACGAUGAGUGCUAGGUGUCGGGGGUUUCGAUACCCGCGGUGCCGAAGUAAACACAGUAAGCACUCCGCCUGGGGAGUACGCUCGCAAGAGUGAAACUCAAAUGAAUUGACGG